UUUCCGUAGGUGAACCUGCGGAAGGAUCAUUCACAAUAAGUGUUUUAUGGCACUUUUUUAAAUCCAUAUCCACCUUGUGUGCAAUGUCAGGGUUGAUUUUUCUCUCGAGAAGAUCAACCACAAACCUCAACUAUAUCUCAACUCUUUGUCUGAAAAAUAUUAUGAAUAAAACAAUUCAAAAUACAACUUUCAACAAUGGAUCUCUUGGCUCUC
rnacentral:misc_RNA from 1 species